GCGUGUUUAAUGGGAUGCUGUUUAUCCCCCUGUAUCUUACCACUCUGUCUCUGGAUAACAAUCACAGGACCCAGAUGCUAAGGAACAGUUUGGCAUGGACAACUGCACAGAGAGAGAUUCACCAGCAGAGGCCUCUCUAGAUUUGCCUUCUGAUUUUAAGAACGCAGAAUCAGCUGCAGUUAAUACAGCUACUUGAAAAGAAUCUCAUUGCAUAGGGGAAAAGAUCACUCUUUAAUGCCCUUUUAAGUUCCAUGAUGUUGAUUAAUGUUGCCCUUUACAUUAAUGAUGUUUCAAGUAAAAGAAAACAAAUUUAAAAUGCAUCAAUUCUAUUGAGGAUGCAUUAAUUAGACAGAGACUUUACCAUAUGCUGUGGCUGGAGGGUUUGCUGGCCUUUCUCUUGUAGUUACCUGUGUAAAAUCCACCCUAUCCUCUACAUGAAUGCCCAAGCUGAAUAGCCAUUUGAAUGCAGGCUUUAGUUUGAUUCGCCAUACAAGGGGACUGUGUCACUGUGUUUUCUUUCUAGGAGUCACUAAGUGAUUUCUAUAUCAGUUGUCAUGGUGAUAUAGCAAAGCAGGGGAAAAUGGGGGCAACUUCAGGCUUUCUCCUCACCCUCUGCACUAAGAUGUUGUUAGCAAGCCUAAUAAAACGUUGAGCUUUCUCUA